rnacentral:misc_RNA from 1 species
AUUCUCCUCUUGCUUCCAGGAUUCGUAAUCUCCUCAACAACAAGAAAGCAGGAAAAGAACAACAAAGUGAAGAAGAAAAUCUUGAAGUCUCUACCCCAUCAAACAGUACCCUCAGCAGUAGCACUAGCAUUAGUAGCAGUAGCACUAGCAUUAGCAGCAGCAGCACGAGUGAUACCAAUACUCCUAGUGAGAUAAUCAAUGAUACCCAGUUUUUUGACGAUGUAUACAAACCAGAUAUGAGCAACUGCAGAGAGGAAUUUGAAUUGGGUUCUUCACCUUCUGAUCUUUCAUGGAGUUUUGGACCUGGGUUCGAUUGCUUUUCAUUUUCUCAGGAGGUGCUGGACUUCCCCAGACAUAUGCCUUUGCCAGAGA